UACGGAGGAUGCAAGCGUUAUCCAGAAUGAUUGGGCGUAAAGCGUCCGCAGGUGGCUGUGUAAGUCUGCUGUCAAAGAGCAAAGCUCAACUUUGUAAAGGCAGUGGAAACUACACGGCUAGAGUGCGUUCGGGGCAGAGGGAAUUCCUGGUGUAGCGGUGAAAUGCGUAGAGAUCAGGAAGAACACCGGUGGCGAAGGCGCUCUGCUAGGCCGCAACUGACACUGAGGGACGAAAGCUAGGGGAGCGAAUGGG
rnacentral:rRNA from 1 species